CUUAUUAUCUAUUAUUAUUAUUAUUAUAUUUUUUAUAUAUUUUUUAAAAUUUUUAAUUAAUUAAUUAAUUAAUUAAUUUUUUUAUUAUAUAUAUAUAUAUUAUUUUUUAAAAAAAGAGUCCAGUGCAAUAUCUUAAUCUUUUAAGCUUUCUAAUUGACUCCUGUAGCGAGCUUUAGGCCAAUGAUUUCCAAACUAGUUGGCUUUAGGGCAUUAAGUGUAGAACACCCCUCAGACUUACUGACUCGAGUUAAAAAGGCUACGAAUUAAGACUGACUCUAUAAGAGAU
rnacentral:lncRNA from 1 species